CACGUAGGGCGCGAGCGUUGUCCGGAAUUAUUGGGCGUAAAGAGCUCGUAGGCGGCCUGUUGCGUCCGCUGUGAAAGCCCGGGGCUUAACCCCGGGUCGGCAGUGGAUACGGGCAGGCUAGAGGUUGGUAGGGGAGAAUGGAAUUCCCGGUGUAGCGGUGAAAUGCGUAGAUAUCUGGAGGAACACCGGUGGCGAAGGCGGCAUCCUGGACCGGCAUUGACGCUGAGGCGCGAAAGCCAGGGGAGCAAACGGG
rnacentral:rRNA from 1 species